rnacentral:rRNA from 1 species
GCAUAUCAAUAAGCGGAGGAAAAGAAACUAACAAGGAUUCCCCUAGUAACGGCGAGUGAACCGGGAAGAGCUCAAAUUCGUAAUCUGGCUGUCUUCGAUAGUCCGAGUUGUAAUCUAUAGAAGCGUUUUCCGUGCUGAACUGUGUAUAAGUCCCUUGGAACAGGGUAUCAAAGAGGGUGACAAUCCCGUACUUUACACAAUCAUCAGUGCUCUGUGAUACGUUCUCUACGAGUCGAGUUGUUUGGGAAUGCAGCUCAAAAUGGGUGGUAAAUUCCAUCUAAAGCUAAAUAUUGGCGAGAGACCGAUAGCGAACAAGUACCGUGAGGGAAAGAUGAAAAGCACUUUGGAAAGAGAGUUAAACAGUACGUGAAAUUGUUAAAAGGGAAACGAUUGAAGUCAGUCGUGUUUAUUGGAUUCAGCCGGUCUUCGGUGUACUUCCUUUAAACGGGUCAACAUCAGUUUUGUUCGGUGGAUAAAGAUGCUAGGAAUGUAGCUUCCUCGGAAGUGUUAUAGACUAGUAUUGCAUACACUGGAGGAGACUGAGGACUGCAGCUCGCCUUUUGGCCGGGGUUCGCCCACGUUCGAGCUUAGGAUGUUGACAUAAUGGCUUUAAACGACCCGUCUUGAAACACGGACC